UACGUAGGGGGCAAGCGUUGCCCGGAAUUAUUGGGCGUAAAGAGCGUGUAGGCGGUCCGGUAAGUCGGCUGUGAAAGUCCAGGGCUCAACCCUGGGAUGCCGGUCGAUACUGCCGGACUAGAGUUCGGAAGAGGCGAGUGGAAUUCCCGGUGUAGCGGUGAAAUGCGCAGAUAUCGGGAGGAACACCUAUGGCGAAGGCAGCUCGCUGGGACGUUACUGACGCUGAGACGCGAAAGCGUGGGGAGCAAACAGG
rnacentral:rRNA from 1 species